GCCUGGCUGGCUCAGUCAGUAGAGCAUGUAACUCUUAAUCUCAGGGUGGUGCGUUCAAGCCCCGUGUUGGGCA
rnacentral:tRNA from 1 species